GAUAAAAAACCUCUCCUGAAAAGACAUGACCAUGUGGAUGUGGGUAUGAGUCUUAUACAUUAGUAUUACAAUUCAAUUUAAACACAUAGACAUGUGCUAGUGAAUGAAGGAUGUAGAACUUGUAGGCCCUUUGAUGUUCUCGCCAGAGAAGUUAAAACCUGCAGAAAUUUUAGUUGUUACAUAGAGUGAAAAAGUUUCAACAACAGCAAUGAAUUUAAACUUUGCAGGAAAAAAAUGUCAUCAGAAAUUUUGUAGAGACUAAACUUAACAUUUUCAAUCAAAAUAGAACAAGUACAUACAUACAGACACAAAGUUUAUCUUUGGACUUUGGUAAAACUUAGCCUAAGACGCACCAUAACCAUGAGGAUGAGCUGCAUACACUCAAGUAGUCAUUUAGGAACAUUAGGG
rnacentral:lncRNA from 1 species